ensembl:lncRNA
UCAUAAAUGAAAAAUGUACAUAUACCUUUGUGAUGACAGUGAUAAGUGAUGAAGAUAAUUUCAUAAUAUAUCACAAUCUCAAAAUAAUUUUAUUUUUCCAAUCAUGGGAACUAUUAAAAUGUAGAAGAGUUUAGAAUAAUUUGUUGUGAUACUUAGAAAGAAGGAAAUGAAGAUCAUACAUUUUCUUCUUGAGAAAGAUGAAACUGAAGUCAAUAAAUAGGGUUCACUUGAGCAGCUGAGGGAAAGGAAAGGGUAGCUAUAGAUGCUUUUUGGAAAUAUUCACAUACUUAACUUUGCAGAGAAUAUAAAACAUAGAUUACAGAGUGUCUUAGUUACUUUUCUUGUUGCUAAGACAGAAUACCCAACACACAAAGUUAAAGGAGGAAAGGUUUAUUUGGCUCACAGUUUGUAGAGCUUUCAGUGCAUAAUUGACUGCCUCCAAGGCAGAAUGGCAUGGCAGGCAGGUACUGAAGAGGAGAAACAGUUCAUGAUUGGCAGAAGGUAGCAAAGUGAGCAAGAGGCUUCUUUCUACUCUUUCUAUACUCUCUCUAGGCCUAAUCUAGGCAUUAUGGUGGUGUCAAGCCAAUCAAUGGACUCAUGCUGUACUAAUUCCAGCUUCACGCUAGAUUUAGCCACCUCUGAAAAGCUCUAUGACCACAUGAGGCUCUGGGGGACAUCUAAACCCAACCCAUAAUGUUCUGCAGCUUGCCUCCCCAAAUACCAUGCAUACAUAUCCUUUUAUGAAAGAUAUUUAGUCCAUCUCCAAGAGUUGCCAAAGUCCUAACAGUUUCAUCAUUGGCAAAAAGUCCAACUCCAAAACUCCUCUGAGAUUUAAGGCAAACUCUUAGCUGUGAGCCCCUCCACAAGGGGAAAGAAAGUUAAACCCUUCUAACAUUCAAUGGCACAAGAUAGACAUUUCUAUUACAAAAGGUAUAAACAUAGGUUUUCAAAGGAAUAGGGCAAAAGCAAGUCCAAAAUCCAGCAGAGAAAACAUUAAGUCCCGUAGUUUCAGGUCCAGCGUCUGGGCAAUCUGUGGCAAAAUAUGAACUCCAAAGGGAUUGGGUGACUCCACCUCCAUGGCACUGCCAGGAAUUAUAGUUCCCAUAGCUUCUCUCUUGGGUUAGCCCUGUUCCUCCCUAAGUUUUCCUCAGAUGAUCCAUGUUCCAGGGUUCUCUAAACUUUCUCCACUGUACCUUUGCUUCACACUCACAGCUUCACACACUGCCCUUUCAGGGGCACACUGCCUGGCCUCCCAGGCUGUAUUCUGAAAUCUGGGUAUAGCCCUUUCUGACCUCAUAACUCUUACAUGUAUCAUGUACCUAAAACCAGUACCACGUGGAUGAUGCCAAGGUCUGCUGCCAGCUGGAGCAGUAGCCAGGCUUCCUUCUCUCUUGGCUCUAGGGAUAGAGUGCUUAUGAACCAAAUCCUGAGCAAAAACUUCUUAGGCUGCCAUCAUUCUGGAGCAUGGUGCUCUGGGGCUCUUUUCUGAAAAUGAAAUCUUUCACUUUUGCAACUCUGAGGCUGCAAAGGCUGGAAUCCUGCUGCAACUUGUGAUGUGCUCAGGGUAUCUUUUCUGUUUUCUUCUGAAAUACUUGGCUUUUUCUUGCUAGUUUUUUCAGCGACCAAUUUCUCCUCUGUUCCAUUUUUACUAGCUGUAACUUUACUGGAGGUUCAUUUCUGGACAAACUCAAAACAUUUUGAAUCAUUCUGCUGGGCUCUUGGCUCUCAACAUAAAUCUGGCUAAAUGUCCCCAACAGUAGCCAUGCCACCACCUCAACAUUAGAUUACCUUGAAAUUUCUUCUGGAAGAUUAAUGAGGCUAGCACUGUUAAUCUGCCUCAGGCAAAGUGCCUGGAUACAAGCAAACUCCAGACAAACUUUUUGCCAAGGUAUAACACACAUUGUUUGGAGUCCUACAGCCAAUGAAGUCCUUCUUCCCAGCAGAAAACUCCCAAGCUUGGUUUUUACCAUCAGGACUUCUAUCAGCCUUCUGAGCUCUGACAAGAAUCUCCCAUGAAGUACAUACUAAGAUAGUUCAGAUUUACUUUUUCAGCAUCUCUGCCCAUUUCCAAACUUUUCCCACAAGCCAGUCCCAAAGGCUCCUGAACCACAUGGUCAGGUAUAUUCACAGCAAUGACCCCACAUCUUUGGUACCAAAUUCUGUCUUAGUUACUUUUCUCAUUGCUGAGACAAAAUACUCAGCAUCCAAAGUUAAAUAAGGAAAAGUUUAUUUGGCCCACAGUUUGUAGAGGUUUCAGUGCACAAUCGGCUGGCUCCAAGGCAGAGUGGAAUGGCAGACAAGAAUAGAAGAGGAGAAACAGUUCAUGGUGGGCAAAAGGUAGCAAAGCAAGCAAGGGGCCUUAGCAACUUCUUUCUACCCCUUUUAUACUCUUUCUAGGGUACUGGGAUUAGGGUGGUACCAAACCAAUCAGUGGACUGAUUUAGUAAUCACACACCCUUUUUACCACCAUCACAUACUCUAGAUCCAGCCACGUCUGAAAAAACUCCACCUAUGACUGCAUAAGGCUUUGGUGAGACAUCUAAACACAAGCCACAACACAAGGACAGUGCUGAUUUUGGUGAUAAUUAUUCCCAAGGACUGAAUACUCUACCCACUAUUCUAUGAAUUAUGAGGUUUUUUUUCUACCUGACUGAUGGAAGCAGCACUGUUCACAAUAACCAAGAGAGGAAAACAAUCUAAGUAUCCAUCAGCUGACGAAUGGAAAUUAGGGGUAGAUGUACACCCUGGAAUAGUCAUCAUAAGAAGAAUGAAAUUGUUAUUUGAAACAACAUGAAUGGAACUGGAGAUCAUUAUGUUAAUUGAAACAAAGCAAGCACAGAAAGAUAAGUACUGCAUUAUUUCACUUCUUUGGGGAAUGUAAAAAUCUCAAAUUCAUAGAAGUUGGAAGUAGAAAGGUGGUUACCAGAGUCUGGGGAGAGUAGCUGGGAAGGAGGAAUGGAUAAGGAUUUAUCAAAAAGAACUAAGUCUCAGUGAAGUAACACUAAUGAGUUCCAGUGUACUGUUUUACAACAGGAUGUCUAUAGGUAAUGAUAAUGUACUACAUCUUUUACAAAAGAUAGAAGAAAGUAUUUUGAAUACUUCUACAAUAAAGAAAUGAUAAAUAGUUAAACAGAUCAGUAUUUUACCCUAUUUGUAUGUUACAGAAUAUAUACUUGCAUUGAAACAUAUUAUUACAUAAAUCUGAAUAAUGUUAUGCUUUCAUGUAUCAGUAAAAGAAUAGACACCAUCAAGUAUAUAGGAGGAUAUACUUAGGAUGCAAGUAAAUAUUAUACCAUUAUAUAAAGGGAAUUGAGUAUUCUUGGAUUAGGUAUCUGUGAAAUACCUUGUAGAUAACAAGGGGCAACUGAAAUAAAAUAAUUGUAAUAAUAAAAAUAAGUAAAGUGUGUAGCUUCAAAAUUCCUGAAACAACAAAAACCAGACAAAAUUAGGGCUUUAUAUAAAUAGACAUAAAUAUUUGGAGAUAUCUUCAUUUUCUUCUCAACAAUUAAAAGACUACAAGAAAAUUUGUUACAUGUAGAAAGCAUAAAAAUUGCUAACAUCCCAUUUGAUCUAUUUGAGAUUAUAAAAAUAUUACACUUGAUGAUAGCAAAUCUAUAUAAUAUUCAUGUAAAUUAUGGUAAUUUUCAAGUACACUUGAUGGACCACUCGAUGGGAUUUUAAUAAACUCAGUGUGUAUCAAAAGAUGGAAAAUACAAAACAUUCUCAUUACAGUGGAAAUACAUUAGAUAUCUUUAAUAAAUUGGUACCUAGAAAAUCUUCAAGUAAUCAGAAAUUAAAUAACAAAUUCUUAAAUUUUAAACCUAUGAAUUAAGAAGGAAAUUAUGAAGAAAAUAAAAUGAAAUAUAAAUAAUAAGAGCAAACACAUGAAAAUCUGUGGGAUGAGAAAAAGAUAGGCUUAAAAUUGUACUUUUAAAUGAUUAUAUUAGAGAAGAAAAAAACAACAGCUUAAAAUAAUUAUCUACAUAUACUUAAGACAGAAAUAGAAUGCAUUACCUAAUUCACUAAAAGAAAGGCAACAAUAAUGAUAGCAGUAGAAACUAAUGAAGUAGAAAGCAUAAAAUGAAAAAGAAAAGGUAAUUAUUAAAAGAAAACAUCUAAAUUGAUAAACUUCUUGCUAGACUGAUCAAUGGAAUAAAAAAAGAACCAUUUUAAAAAAUCUAAUAUUGUAACAUGAAAAAUUAGAAAAGCUGAAUAUCCUUUUAUUAUUUAAAGACUUUGAAUUAACAUUAAAAUGGAAAAGCAAAAUGAAACAAACAAAACCCCAAAAAGAUCUAAACAUGUUUUAUUGGGCCUGUAUAAAUCUAGUAUAAUUUAAUUUUAUUAGACCAAAAUAACCCUAAUAUCCACUAUGUAUUCCUGGGAUGCAAAGCUUAACAUUAACAUUUAAGCAAAGCUUAAACAUUUGAAAAUUAAUAACUUAUUACUAAGAGAAUGAAAGAGAAAGAACUCCGUGUGAUUAUCUCCAAGAAACAGAAAAAGCUAUUUGAAAUAUUGAGAACUCAUUCAUGAUUUAAAAACAAUAACAACAACAAAACCCUAAAAUAAACCUCUCAGAAAUAAAAAGAGGAAAAAUUCAUCAAGCUGAAAAAAGCUGUUGAUAAAAAAUCUAGAGCUAAUUUAAUAACUAACCCUAAAACAUUAAAAAAGAAUGAGGAAAAAUGAGUCCAAAUUAAAACUAAAACAAAAUAGAAACAAUAUAAAGCUGUUGUGACUGGAAUAAAUAUUUUAUUAAAAUAUAGGUUAAAACCAAACUGAAUGUAAUAAACAUUUUAACUUUUAAUAUUCAGUUUUAUUAUGAAAUUAGGAUUCUAAUUCAUAUACACACUUUUGAGGUAGUUCCUGUCUUCUGCAUCUUUGCUCUGUGAACCCUUACAACUUCUUAUCUACAUCAGUAGGUAAUAAAUCCACUGAGGAACUGAGAAGAGGAUGCAGAAAAAAUCCCAAGCAUAUUUAAAGAUUUGAUCUUUGACAAAGGGGUCAAAAACAUCACUAGAGGAUGAUAGCCUCUGUAACAAAUAGUAUUGGAAAAACUGGUGAUCCACCGGCAUACGAUUGAAUCUAGACCCAUAUCUUUCACCAUUUACUAAACUGAAAUAAAAAAAUAGAUCAAAGAACUAAAUGUUGAAAGAAAAAUACUUAACAUGCUGGAAGAUAAGUAAAACUCUUGAAGUCAUAUACAUAGGCAAGGAUUUUCUGAACAUAACCCAGGUAACAUAGGAAAGAAUAUGGAUGAUAAACAAACAGGAUCAUAUCAAAUUAAAAAGUUUCUGCAUAGCAAAAGAAAGAACUAACAAAAUAAAAGGAUAACGUGCAUAAUGGGAAAAAAACCUUGCCUGCUAUUCUUCAGAUAGAGGACUAAUAUCUAGAAUAUGUGAAGAACUAAAAAGAAUUAGACCAUCCAAAAUAAAAGACCCAAACAAAAAAUGGGCAAGUGAAAUUAAUGGACACUUCACAGAAUAAGAAGUACAAUUGGCCAAUAAAUGCAUGUAGAAAUGCUCAACAUUGCUGGCCAUUAGAGAAAUACAAACUAAGCAACACUCAGAUUCUACCUUACCCCAGAAAGAAUGGGCAUCAUCUAGAAAUCAAAUUUUCACAAGUGCAAGCAAGGCUGAAGGGAAAAAUACAGUUCUUCUACAUUGCUGGUGAGACAGGAAGCUAGUAUAGUCACUAUGAAAAUCAAUGUGGAGAUUCUUCAAAAUACUAAAACUAGAAAUUCAGUUUGGCUCAGUAAUUCCCCUUCUAAGUAUUUUUUUCCCAAAGAGUUAAAGACAUAUUAUUAUAGUGAUGUAUGCACAUCAAUGUUUAUAGCAGCACAAUUCAUAAUAGCUGAACCUUGGAAGCAGUCUGAAUGUCCAUCUACAGUUGUACAGAAAAAGACAGUGUUUUAUUUCCACAGAAUGGAGUUCUCUCCCAUAAAGAAAGAUCAACUUGAAUCAUUUGCAGGGAAAUGGAUGCACCCAGAGAACAUAAUGUUAUGUAAAAUAAAUUAGAAACACAAGUUUAAAUACUGCAUAAUUUCUUUUACAUAAACCCAAAUCAUGAAUAAAGAGCAAAAUAAAAGGUGAUAGGAAAUAAGGAGUUUUUUUUUUUUCAAAAGGGAAGGGGCUCAAGAAAUGGAAGGAGAAUGGAGGGAGGGGAGGCAAAGGAUUUGGAGAAAGGAAUUAAAAUGUGCACCUGAACCAAAUCCACACAAG